rnacentral:rRNA from 1 species
CAAAGGCUUGGUCCUGACUUUACUACCAACUUUAGACGAAAUUACACAUGCAAGUAUCCGCCCUCCUGUGAGAAUGCCCUACAGUUCCCUGUCCGGGAACAAGGAGCAGGUAUCAGGCACACCCAUCAAGCCCACAACACCUUGUUCAGCCACACCCUCAAGGGAACUCAGCAGUGAUAAACAUUAAGCCAUAAGUGAAAACUUGACUUAGUUAAAGCUAAAAGGGCCGGUAAAACUCGUGCCAGCCACCGCGGUUAUACGAGAGGCCCAAGUUGAAAGACACCGGCGUAAAGCGUGGUUAAACUAAAAUUUAAAUUAAAGUUAAACAUCUUCAAGACUGUUAUACGUACCCGAAGGCAGGAACCCCAAUCACGAAAGUAACUUUAUAUAAGCUGAACCCACGAAAGCUAUAGCACAAACUGGGAUUAGAUACCCCACUAUG